ACGGGUGAGUAAUACAUCGGAACGUGCCUAGUAGUGGGGGAUAACUACUCGAAAGAGUAGCUAAUACCGCAUGAGAUCUACGGAUGAAAGCAGGGGACCUUCGGGCCUUGUGCUUCUAGAGCGGCUGAUGGCAGAUUAGGUAGUUGGUGGGGUAAAGGCUUACCAAGCCUGCGAUCUGUAGCUGGUCUGAGAGGACGACCAGCCACACUGGGACUGAGACACGGCCCAGACUCCUACGGGAGGCAGCAGUGGGGAAUUUUGGACAAUGGGCGAAAGCCUGAUCCAGCAAUGCCGCGUGCAGGAUGAAGGCCCUCGGGUUGUAAACUGCUUUUGUACGGAACGAAAAGCCUGGGGCUAAUAUCUCCGGGUCAUGACGGUACCGUAAGAAUAAGCACCGGCUAACUACGUGCCAGCAGCCGCGGUAAUACGUAGGGUGCAAGCGUUAAUCGGAAUUACUGGGCGUAAAGCGUGCGCAGGCGGUUUUGUAAGACAGUGGUGAAAUCCCCGGGCUCAACCUGGGAACUGCCAUUGUGACUGCAAGGCCAGAGUGCGGCAGAGGGGGAUGGAAUUCCGCGUGUAGCAGUG
rnacentral:rRNA from 1 species